UAAUCCAGCUCCAAUAGCGUAUAUUAAGUGUUGCAGUUAAAAGCUCGUAGUUGAAUUUCGGGGUUAGUAGGUCGGUCAUGCCUCAGGUAUGCACUGGUCUCACUGAUUCCUCCUUCCUGAUGAGCCGUAAUGCCAUUAAUUUGGUGUUGCGGGGAAUCUGGACUGUUACUUUGAAAAAAUUAGAGUGUUUAAAGCAGGCUAACGCUUGAAUACAUUAGCAUGGAAUAAUGGAAUAGGACGUUCGAUCCUAUUUUGUUGGUUUCUAGGGAUUGACGUAAUGAUUAAUAGGGAUAGUUGGGGGCAUUAGUAUUCAAUUGUCAGAGGUGAAAUUCUUGGAUUUAUUGAAGACUAACUACUGCGAAAGCAUUUGCCAAGGAUGUUUUCAUUAAUCAAGAACGAAAGUUAGGGGAUCGAAGACGAUCAGAUACCGUCGUAGUCUUAACCAUAAACUAUGCCGACUAGGGAUCGGAUGAUGUUAAUUUUUUAAUGACUCAUUCGGCGCCUUACG
rnacentral:rRNA from 1 species